UAUACCCAACGCAAUCUGUCGCACGCGUUUCCCGUCUGCCACUCGUUGAGCGCGAAAAUAUUUUAUUUCGUUUAUUAGUAAAUGCGUGUUCGUGUAUUGGUCACUAUUAUAACACCGUGACCGACUUAACACAUCUUAUCCGCAUGAAGAAAUGUUUUCGCGAACAUUUUAUCAGUGCUUAUACAAUAUUGUAUUGUGUUAACGCGAGGAAAAAGAAACGACCCGAUAAUGAGUGAUUAUUAUCAGUGACGAUCAGUGACAACGGGGAAAUCGAUGGUGGCCUCGACCAACCUGCAGGGGCAGGUUUUAUCAAUAACCAAGGAAGGGACUAAUGGAGGUUUAAGAAUUUAGUCGAACACCUCAUCGCCGGUCUGAUGUCAUUAUGUUCCGCGAAGGGUUCCGAUUUACAAAUCCUAUACCGUACAGGCCUGAAAUAUAUUAUAUGUGGUACAUGUA
rnacentral:lncRNA from 1 species